ensembl:ncRNA lncRNA:CR44915 long non-coding RNA:CR44915
AAGAACAUAACUAAUAAAAAUCGUUUGCUUUCGUCUGCUUUAUCCCCAGACUUAGGUUCACCCAAAUGGCCACAUCUCAGUGGCUGGCGGUGACAACGACAACAAAACUUACUCAGGCAUCGCUUUACCCCGCGCGCAGGACUUACCGUCGCCCACAGGCAGGACCUUUGGCGACACUGAGUGACACCUUGUGAGCGGAUCACCGCAAUUUCUCGCAGUGCACGACCCAGACAUGACACUAGCCGGGCUUCCAUCCAACCAACCAGUCAGCCAGCCAGCCAGCCAGCCAGCAGCCAGCCAUCCAAUCGAGCUGGCUCCUUUUGGGUGGCUUCGUCGCAUUUGAUGCUUGACAUUGUUGGCAGUCGAUAUUGGUUGUAAUUAGCUUUAAUUGAAAUUGCUACACUCCCGUCCAGCCAACACGGGUGAAUCGCAGUGGAAAUCUUUGAGGAGUUUAUGGACACAUAAGCACGGUUUAUGGCGCAGAUAUCAAAAGGAAUACUAUUCAUUGUCUGCGAGAGAACACGUUUAUCAGUUUUGUGUGUAUCGCGAUUUGUCAGUUGAAAUUCGGUAAGGUAAAUAAACGAAAAUCAUAC